rnacentral:misc_RNA from 1 species
AUGGGACGGCCCGCUGGGCUGUUCCCGCCCCUAUGCCCUUUUUUGGGUUUCCGGCCAGAGGCAUGCUGGGAGCGUCACAUGCAAAUUGAGCGUGCACCCAGCGUUCCGCCCUUUCUACGCUGGGCCGGUUAUCGACCCGGCCCAGUGCGCAGGCGCGGGAAAGUUGAACUAAUAAAGUUUGUACGAGUUCAGUGGAGGAGACCGCAAGUUGAGUGGAGGAGGCGGCGGUGGGGCCCCGGACCAGGUCAGCGGGGUGUUGACGAGGGGUGGGGUGAGGAGGGAAGAGGAGGGGGCCGGGAUCCAGUGGUGGGCACCCCAGUCCCGCUUCUCUGAUAUCCAAGGGUCCAGGGUCCUCUAGAUUCCAGCAGGGGUCGGAGAUUUGGAACUACACCUCACAGCAGGCUGCGCGGCGAAGAAGCGCGGACCUAGGGGAAGAUUUGCCCUGAAACCUCUUGGGAUUGGUAGUUCCCGAUGCUUUAAGGGUUUCAGGAGUUUGGCAUAUGCCUCUUAUAGAAUCCAGGAGUUGGGGCGCUAAGCCUCUUCUUCCUGGGAGACCUAAGGGUCUGGGGCUCCAGUUCCUUUUUCUCUAAGACUCAGAAGUCCAGGACCCCAGCUCCCUCCUCCUUUAGACCCACGAAUCUGGGCACCCAGCCCCACCACCUUUCCUUGGAUCGAAGAGUCUUUUUCCUGAUCGCUUUUUCGUCUGAGGACUCAAGAGUCUAGGCCCCCAGACCCACACUCUCCAAAGGACCCAGGAGUCCAGGCCCUCAGCACCUUCCUUGGGACUCACAAGUCCUGGUCCCCAAGCCUCCACUUCUUGCUAAACCCUUGGAGUCCAGUCCCUAACCCUCUCUCUCACAGGUGCCUCCAUGGCAGGCUCUGAAGAGCUGGGGCUCCGGGAAGACACGCUGAGGGUCCUAGCUGCCUUCCUUAGGCGUGGUGAGGCUGCCGGGUCUCCUGUUCCAACUCCACCUAGCCCUGCCCAAGAAGAGCCAACAGACUUCCUGAGCCGCCUUCGAAGAUGUCUUCCCUGCUCCCUGGGGCGAGGAGCAGCCCCCUCUGAGUCCCCUCGGCCUUGCUCUCUGCCCAUCCGCCCCUGCUAUGGUUUAGAGCCUGGUAAGAGAUUUCCAUGAUCAUCUAUGAAGCCGGCAGAACACGGGAUAAGGCCCAGCUACUCCAGACUUCUAUGCUUUGGUGGCCCAGCGGCUGGAACAGCUGGUCCAAGAGCAGCUGAAAUCUCCGCCCAGCCCAGAAUUACAGGGUCCCCCAUCGACAGAGAAGGAAGCCAUACUGCGGAGGCUGGUGGCCCUGCUGGAGGAGGAGGCAGAAGUCAUUAACCAGAAGGUGAUGGGCAUCUGUCCCACUCCUUGGCAAGGACAGGAGUUGCGGAAUGGAGGGCAUCCUGGCUGUUUCACCCGUGGACUUGAACUUGCCAUUGGACUGAGCUCUUUCUCAGAAGCUGCUACAAGAUGACACCUCAUGUCCCUGCCCUCUUCGUGUGCUUUUCCAAGUCUUCCUAUUCCACUCAGGGCUGUGGGGUGGUGGUUGCCCUACCUGUUUUUGCCAAAAAUAAAUUGUUUAAAACUUUUCUUAUUAAAAACGUUACAAAGUA